AACGAACGCUGGCGGCAUGCCUAACACAUGCAAGUCGAACGAGACCUUCGGGUCUAGUGGCGCACGGGUGCGUAACGCGUGGGAACCUGCCCUUAGGUUCGGGAUAACUCCCCGAAAGGGGUGCUAAUACCGGAUAAUGUCUUCGGACCAAAGAUUUAUCGCCUUUGGAUGGGCCCGCGUUGGAUUAGCUCGUUGGUAGGGUAAAAGCCUACCACGGCGACGAUCCAUAGCUGGUCUGAGAGGAUGAUCAGCCACACUGGGACUGAGACACGGCCCAGACUCCUACGGGAGGCAGCAGUGGGGAAUAUUGGACAAUGGGGGAAAGCCUGAUCCAGCAAUGCCGGGUGAGUGAUGAAGGCCUUAGGGUUGUAAAGCUCUUUUACCCGGGAUGAUAAUGACAGUACCGGGAGAAUAAGCUCCGGCUAACUCCGUG
rnacentral:rRNA from 1 species